GAUGAACGCUGACAGCAUGCUUAACACAUGCAAGUCAACUGUGGCGGACGGGUGAGUAACGCGUAAAGAACUUGCCUCGCGGAUAGGGACAACAUUUGGAAACGAAUGCUAAUACCUGAUACUGUGAGAGAGCUUUGCGUCCCAUUGGCUAGUUGGAGAGGUAACGGCUCACAAAGGCGAUGAUGGGUAGCCGGCCUGGGAGGGUGAUCGGCCACAAGGGGACUGAGACACGGCCCUUACUCCUACGGGAGGCAGUAGUGGGGAAUAUUGGACAAUGGACCAAAGUCUGAUCCAGGAAUUCUGUGUGCACGAUGAAGUUUUCGGAAUGUAAAGUGCUUUCAGUUGGGAAGCAGUACCAACAGAAGAAGUGACGGCUAAAUACGUGCCAGCAGCCGCGGUAAUAC
rnacentral:rRNA from 1 species